CCCUUAGAUGUUCUGGGCUGCACGCGUGCUACAAUGGCGUUUCCAGCAAGUCUGCGAACCCGAGAGGGCCAGCGGAUCUUCGAAUUGGCGUCGUGAUCGGGACAGUCGAUUGCAAUUAUUUGACUCAAACGAGGAAUUCCUUGUAAUCGCGAUUCAUCAUAUCGCGCUGAAUACGUCCCUGCCCUUUGUACACACCGCCCGUCGCUCCUACCGAUUGAGCGAUCCGGUAAAUGUUUUGGAUUGGUGCCGGGGCGGCUAGCUGCCGGUCGCUACGAAAUUUUGGGAACCUUAUCGCUUAGAGGAAGGAAAAGUCGUAACA
rnacentral:rRNA from 1 species